rnacentral:sRNA from 1 species
UGAGAGCUGGCGGCAAAGUCGGUGGAGG